rnacentral:lncRNA from 1 species
UUUUGUUCUACCAGUCACAUUAUUUAUACACUACACAGGUAUAUCAUGGACAGCAAGUUGGCGGCACUGAGGCUGACAUGAUGGCAGCAAAUGAGCUAAAUGCUCAUAUUUUUCUUCAGGUAUGUUUAUGUAGCAUUCAUUGCUAUAGGGCUAUGUUUAUGUUUUCACUUGCAGUGAAGUUUUGAUCUCAUGUGAACUAUUUCAAUUGAAUUAUUUCAUUGGAGCUUGAGAAAUGCAGCUCACUGGAACACCUGGACCUUGGAUCAAACUAUCUCUCAGGUACUAUACGGGAUGAUAUGUUUUGAUCAGUUUUGGCAACAAAUUUGACUACAUUGACUCUUAACGAGAAUAGGCUUUCUGGGCAAUUGAGCAACAAGUUGAUUAUAUCCUUUCAUUUAUUUAGAAAAGUGCACAUUACAUGUUUGAUGAAAUGCCAAAAAAGAAAUAUAACUUGGUAUUUGAUAAUACCUAGAAUGUAUUUAUCCUCAAACAGUGUAAUAAGUUAACUUGGUUGUUUUUCUUUUCCCUUUUGUGCUUUCAGAUAUCAUUUUCCUACAGUGACGAAUGUUUCUUUGCUUUUCAUUUUUCUGAAGUUGAAUAGCAUUAUACGCGAGUUGAAAGAGAUUUAUGCUAACCUUUUUCUCCUCUAUUUUACUGUUUUUUUUAUCUAAUGCUAUUCAAGUGGUAAUAUAAAUUAAAUGUAGACAUCUAGAUAUUGCAUAGUUUUGUUUUCUGCAAGGAGGGAAAGAUUAUCCAUCUAAAUCUUUAGUCUCAUAUGACAUUUAUCAACUUUUAAAUUCAGUUGAUUGAAAUGAGGGGUAUAAAUUAUGAUGGCAUUGAUUUUUUAUAGUCAAUGAGUGAGAAUAUAUUUUUGACAUAAUUUUUGACUCCAUGGCAAAUUAUGCUUUUAUUGUAUCAAUAUUUAUUAAGAAAUUCGCAGAUUUUCUCUAUAUAGUAACUUCUGAUCAGUUGAUCUCUUUAGAGUUUAGAUUAUCAUUUUGUUCUACCAGUCACAUUAUUUAUAAACUACACAGGUAUAUCCUGGACAGCAAGUUGGCGGCAUUGAAGCUGACAUGAUGGCAGCAAAUGAGCUAAAUGCUCAUAUUUUCCUUCAGGUAUGUUUAUGUAGCAUUCAUGGCUGGCUAUGUUUUUGUUUUCACUUGCAGUGAAGUUUUGAUCACAUGUGAAUGUGUGGAUUUGUUUUUUUUUUAAAUUGUGGAUUAGAAUGUUGAUGGAUAUAAAUGUUUUUUGAUUUGUGGGAUUUUAUUUUUGAAAUUGUUGGUUAUUAGUUCUUGAUAUAGUAUAUGUUUGGCAUGUUACUGAUUGUCAACAAUGGUAUUAAUGAUGGUUGUUCAGGGAGGUGGGAGUUUGGGGUCCUUCUCUACGGAAAUUGUUAGGCUUCUGCAGCUUUGUGAGGAAGAAGUUGUUUAGGAUUGAUAGAUUUUCAAAAGUAAGUUAUAAUUCUUUUAUGGAGCUCAUAAAUCUUAUUUUUGUAGUAAAAGAAGCCUAUAAUAUAGUGGGAUGGUGUUAUUGGC